CGGAAGAAUAGAUACACGAGUUUUUACAAGAAAAGAUUACUCGUCACUUAAUCCUUCCAAAAAAAAUAUUAAAAAAUGCCUUCUGAUGACUGUAAUUUGUGAAGUAUUAAUUUAUAGACAGAUACGGGGCAUACACUU